GGAUUAGCAGCCUCCUUGCUUGGCUUGCUUUAAGGUCCGCUUCUUGGUCUCUGGGUCACAGCAGGGCAUGAGGUGAUGAGGAGCAAAAAAACCCAGAAAAGCAUUUAUCCUGAGAUCCCCAGAUCCCUCAAUUCACAAGAUUUCCUAAUAUCAGGUCUCCAUGGAUCCACUGUGUAAUUAGAACUAAGGGCUGAACCAUGGGCAAGACUUUUGAGUGAUUAACUUCUCAAAUUCAAACUGGGCUUCACUGUAACCUGGAGACGAAACCAUUUGAAUGGAGAAAUUAUGGGGAGGAGGAAGAGUGAUGCCUAUCACCUUAAAAGAAGGCAAAGGACCUUACAGAAAAGGGAUAAAGAAGGAAGAAGACUUUUGUGAUUAAAGAAGGUAGGGAAUGAGGGAAACCAGAGAAUGACCAAUGUAAACAAGAGCAACAGAGAUGCACUCUGCUUCUGACAUUUUUGCAAACUUCAGUU
rnacentral:lncRNA from 1 species